rnacentral:rRNA from 1 species
UACGAAGGGUGCAAGCGUUAAUCGGAAUUACUGGGCGUAAAGCGUGCGUAGGUGGUUUGUUAAGUCUGCUGUGAAAGCCCCGGGCUCAACCUGGGAACUGCAUUUGAAACUGGCGGGCUUGAGUGUGGCAGAGGGGGGUGGAAUUCCGCGUGUAGCAGUGAAAUGCGUAGAGAUGCGGAGGAACACCGAUGGCGAAGGCAGCCCCCUGGGCCAACACUGACGCUCAGGCACGAAAGCGUGGGGAGCAAACAGG